rnacentral:lncRNA from 1 species
UGUGGGUACAUAGACAAAACACUGUCCCUAGCAAGCCUCUAGUUGGCUAGCUAGUUGAUCAAAGAUAGUCAGGGUCUUCUGACUAUGUACAAGGUGUUGUUGCUUGAUAACUGGAUCACAUCAUUGGGAGAAUCAUGUGAUGGACUAGACCCAAACUAAUAGACGUAGCAUGUUGAUCGUGUCAUUUUGUUGCUACUGUUUUCUGCAUGUCAAGUAUUUAUUCCUAUGACCAUGAGAUCAUAUAACUCACUCACACCGAAGGAAUGCUUUGUGUGUAUCAAACGUCAGAACGUAACUGGGUGACUAUAAAGAUGCUCUACAGGUAUCUCCGAAGGUGUCCGUUGAGUUAGUAUAGAUCUAGACUGGGAUUUGUCACUCCGUGUGACGGAGAGGUAUCUCGGGGCCCACUCGGUAAUACAACAUCACACACAAGCCUCGCAAGCAAUGUGAUUUAGUGUAAGUCACGGGAUCUUGUAUUACGGAACGAGUAAAGAGACUUGCCGGUAAACGAGAUUGAAAUAGGUAUGCGGAUACUGACCAUCGAAUCUCGGGCAAGUAACAUACGGAAGGACAAAGGGAAUGACAUACGGGAUUAUAUGAAUCCUUGGCACUAAAGUUCAAAUGA